rnacentral:rRNA from 1 species
AUACCAGCUCUCCGAGUGGUGUGGAUGUUUAUUGGGCCUAAAGCAUCCGUAGCUGGCUAGGUCAGUCCCUUGUCAAAUCCACCGAAUUAAUCGUUGGAUCGCGGGGGAUACUGCUUGGCUAGGGGACGAGAGAGGCAGACGGUAUUUUCGGGGUAGGGGUGAAAUCCUAUAAUCCCGGGAAGACCACCAGUGGCGAAGGCUGUCUGCUAGAACGCGCCCGACGGUGAGGGAUGAAAGCUGGGGGAGCGAACCGGAUUAGAUACCCGGGUAGUCCCAGCUGUAAACGAUGCAGACUAGGUGUUUGGACGGCCACGUGCCGUUCUAGUGCCGCAGGGAAGCUGUUAAGUCUGCCGCCUGGGGAGUACGAUCGCAAGAUUGAAACUCAAAGGAAUUGACGGGG